AGCGAACGCUGGCGGCAGGCCUAACACAUGCAAGUCGAACGAACUCUUCGGAGUUAGUGGCGGACGGGUGAGUAACACGUGGGAACGUGCCUUUAGGUUCGGAAUAACUCAGGGAAACUUGUGCUAAUACCGAAUGUGCCCUUCGGGGGAAAGAUUUAUCGCCUUUAGAGCGGCCCGCGUCUGAUUAGCUAGUUGGUGAGGUAAAGGCUCACCAAGGAGACGAUCAGUAGCUGGUCUGAGAGGAUGAUCAGCCACAUUGGGACUGAGACACGGCCCAAACUCCUACGGGAGGCAGCAGUGGGGAAUCUUGCGCAAUGGGCGAAAGCCUGACACAGCCAUGCCGCGUGAAUGAUGAAGGUCUUAGGAUUGUAAAAUUCUUUCACCGGGGACGAUAAUGACGGUACCCGGAGAAGAAGCCCCGGCUAACUUCGUGCCAGCAGCCGCCGUAA
rnacentral:rRNA from 1 species